rnacentral:rRNA from 1 species
GGACGAACGCUGGCGGCGUGCCUAAUACAUGCAAGUCGAGCGGACCGACGGGAGCUUGCUCCCUUAGGUCAGCGGCGGACGGGUGAGUAACACGUGGGUAACCUGCCUGUAAGACUGGGAUAACUCCGGGAAACCGGGGCUAAUACCGGAUGCUUGUUUGAACCGCAUGGUUCAAACAUAAAAGGUGGCUUUUCGCUACCACUUACAGAUGGACCCGCGGCGCAUUAGCUAGUUGGUGGGGUAACGGCUCACCAAGGCGACGAUGCGUAGCCGACCUGAGAGGGUGAUCGGCCACACUGGGACUGAGACACGGCCCAGACUCCUACGGGAGGCAGCAGUAGGGAAUCUUCCGCAAUGGACGAAAGUCUGACGGAGCAACGCCGCGUGAGUGAUGAAGGUUUUCGGAUCGUAAAACUCUGUUGUUAGGGAAGAACAAGUACCGUUCGAACAGGGCGGUACCUUGACGGUACCUAACCAGAAAGCCACGGCUAACUACGUGCCAGCAGCCGCGGUAAUACGUAGGUGGCAAGCGUUGUCCGGAAUUAUUGGGCGGUAAAGCGCCGCGCAGGGCGGUUCUUUAAGUCUGAUGGUGAAAAGCCCCCGGCUCAACCGGGGGGAGGGUUCAUUGGGAAACUGGGGAACUUUGGAUGCAGAAAAGG